rnacentral:rRNA from 1 species
CAGCUCCAAUAGCGUAUAUUAAAGUUGUUGCAGUUAAAAAGCUCGUAGUUGGAUCUAGGGACGCGCAUUUCAAGCGCUCGUGUCAUCGGGUCAAACCGGUGACUGCGUGGCGUUGCGGGCUCGGUCCGUCGGUGUCACUAAAAGCAUCGGCGUGUCAACCGGCCCGCCCGUCCCCUCCUUCUGGAUUCCCGUUCCUGCUAUUGAGUUAGUGGGGACGUCACAGGGAGCUCAUCGUCGUCAGCAAUGACGGCGCGGUGAGUUCCUGGGGCCCAGAUCGUUUACCGUGAAAAAAUUAGAGUGUUCAAAGCAGGCAGAUCCAAUUUUCUGCCACCGAAUACAUUAGCAUGGGAUAAUGGAAUAGGACCCUGUCCUCCUAUUUUCAGUUGGUUUGCCGCGAGGACCAGGGUAAUGAUUAAUAGGGAUAGUUGGGGGCAUUAAUAUUUAAUUGUCAGAGGUGAAAUUCUUGGAUUUAUGAAAGAUUAACUUCUGCGAAAGCAUCUGCCAAGGAUGUUUUCAUUAAUCAAGAACGAAAGUUAGGGGAUCGAAGACGAUCAGAUACCGUCGUAGUCUUAACCAUAAACGAUGCCGACCAGCGAUUAGGAGACGUUGAAUACAAAACACCACCAUGCGCAUUGCGGUCGUCUUUGGUGUCGCUCACAAGGCGGCACCGGGGCGGCUUAGCUCGCAUGGCACCGGUGAA